UCCCCGCUCUCCUACCUGGUUGAUCCUGCCGCCAUGCAUGUCUAAGUGAAUGGCUCAUUAAAUCAGUUGUGGUUCCUUUGAUCGCUAGCUCCUCUCCUACUUGGAUAACUGUGGUAAUUCUGGAGCUAAUACAUGCCGAUGGGGGCUGACCCCCCCUCGUGGGGGUGAUGUGUGCAUUUAUCAGAUCAAAACAAACCCAGUCAGCCUCCCCCUGGCCCCGGCCAGGGGACGGGCGCCGGUGGCUUCGGUGACUCUAGAUAACCUCGGGCUGAUCGCACACCCACCCCCCGUGGUGGCGACGACCCAUUUGAAUGUCUGCCCUAUCAACUUUCGAUGGUAGUCUCUGUGCCUACCAUGGUGACCACGGGUGACGGGAAUCAGGGUUCAAUUCUGGAGAGGGGGCCUGAGAAACGGCUACCACAUCCAAGGAAGGCAGCAGGUGAGCAAAUUACCCACUCCCGACCCGGGGAGGUAGUGAUGAAAAAUAACAAUACAGGACCCUUUUGAGGUCCUUUAAUUGGAAUGAGUCCACUUUAAAUCCUUUAAUGAGGAUCCAUUGGAGGGCAAGUCUGAUGCCAGCAGCCGCGGUAAUUCCAGCUCCAAUAGCGUAUAUUAAAGUUGCUGCAGUUAAAAAGCUCCUAGUUGGAUCUUGGGAGCGGGCGGGAAGUCCGCCUUGAGGCGAGGCGAGCCACCACCCGUCCCCACCCCUUGCCUCUAGGCGCCCCCUCGAUGCUCUUAGCUGAGUGUCCCGCGGGGCCUGAAGUGUUUACUUUGAAAAAAUUAGGGUGUUCAAAGCCGGCCGAGCCGCCUGGAUACUGCAGCUAGGGAUAAUGGAAUAGGACUGUGGUUCUAUUUGGUUGGUUUUCGGAACUGAGGCCUUGAUUAAGAGGGAUGGCCAGGGGCAUUCGUAUUGCGCCGCUAGAGGUGAAAUUCUUGGACAGGCGCAAAGCGUCUGAGCGAAAGCAUUUGCCAAGAAUGUUUUCAUUAAUCAAGAACGAAAGUCGGAGGUUUGAAGACGAUCAGAUACCGUCAUAGUUCCGACCAUAAACGAUGCCAACUGGCUAUGCAGCGGCGUUAUUCCCAUGACCCGCCGGGCAGCUUCCGGGAAACCAAAGCCUUUGGGUUCCGGGGGGGAGUAUGGUUGCAAAGCUGAAACUUAAAGGAAAUGACAGAGGGGCACCACCAGGAGUGGAGCCUGUGGCUUAAUUUGAUUCAACACGGGAAACCGCACCCCACCCCAGACAUGGACAAGAUUGACAGAUUGAUAGCUCUUUCUCGAUUCCGUGGGUGGUGGUGCAUGGCCGUUCUUAGUUGGUGGAGCGAUUUGUCUGGUUAAUUCUUUUUUUUUUUUUUAAAGAUUUUAAUUAUUUAUUUAUUCGACAGAGUCUGAGCCGAAGGCAGACGCUUAACCGCUGUGCCACCCAGGCGCCCCUGUCUGGUUAAUUCUGAUAACAAAUGAGACUCUGGCAUGCUAACUAGUUACGCGACCCCCGAGUGGUCGGUGUCCCCCAACUUCUUAGAGGGACAAGUGGCGUUCAGCCACCAGAGAUUGAGCAAUAACAGGUCUGUGAUGCCCUUAGAUGUCCGGGGCUGCACGCGUGCUAAACUGACUGGCUCAGUGUGUGCCUACCCAACAAUGGCAGGCGCGGGUAACCCGUUGAACUCCAUUCGUGUUGGGGAUCAGGGAUUGCAAUUAUUCCCCAUGAACAAGGAAUUCCCACUAAGUGAGGGUCAUAAGCUUGUGUUGAUUAAGUCCCUGCCCUUUGUACACACCGCUCAUCGCUACUACCGAUUGCAUGGUUUAGUGAGGCCCUCGGAUCGGCCCCACCGGGGUCGGCCCACGGCCCUGGUGGAGUGCUGAGAAGAUGGUUGAAUUUGACUAUCUAGAGGAAGUAAAAGUAACAAGGUUUCCGUAGGUGAACCUGUGGAAG
rnacentral:rRNA from 1 species